rnacentral:rRNA from 1 species
ACGAACGCUGGCGGCGUGCUUAACACAUGCAAGUCGCACGGAAAGGCCCUGCUUUUGUGGGGUGCUCGAGUGGCGAACGGGUGAGUAACACGUGAGUAACCUGCCCUUGACUUUGGGAUAACUUCAGGAAACUGGGGCUAAUACCGGAUAGGAGCUCCUGCUGCAUGGUGGGGGUUGGAAAGUUUCGGCGGUUGGGGAUGGACUCGCGGCUUAUCAGCUUGUUGGUGGGGUAGUGGCUUACCAAGGCUUUGACGGGUAGCCGGCCUGAGAGGGUGACCGGCCACAUUGGGACUGAGUUACGGCCCAGACUCCUACGGGAGGCAGCAGUGGGGAAUAUUGCACAAUGGGCGGAAGCCUGAUGCAGCAACGCCGCGUGCGGGAUGACGGCCUUCGGGUUGUAAACCGCUUUCGCCUGUGACGAAGCGUGAGUGACGGUAAUGGGUAAAGAAGCACCGGCUAACUACGUG